rnacentral:rRNA from 1 species
CGAGCGUGACGGCGCGAGCAGGUGCGAAAGCAGGUCAUAGUGAUCCGGUGGUUCUGAAUGGAAGGGCCAUCGCUCAACGGAUAAAAGGUACUCCGGGGAUAACAGGCUGAUACCGCCCAAGAGUUCAUAUCGACGGCGGUGUUUGGCACCUCGAUGUCGGCUCAUCACAUCCUGGGGCUGAAGUAGGUCCCAAGGGUAUGGCUGUUCGCCAUUUAAAGUGGUACGCGAGCUGGGUUUAGAACGUCGUGAGACAGUUCGGUCCCUAUCUGCCGUGGGCGCUGGAGAACUGAGGGGGGCUGCUCCUAGUACGAGAGGACCGGAGUGGACGCAUCACUGGUGUUCGGGUUGUCAUGCCAAUGGCACUGCCCGGUAGCUAAAUGCGGAAGAGAUAAGUGCUGAAAGCAUCUAAGCACGAAACUUGCCCCGAGAUGAGUUCUCCCUGACUCCUUGAGAGUCCUGAAGGAACGUUGAAGACGACGACGUUGAUAGGCCGGGUGUGUAAGCGCAGCGAUGCGUUGAGCUAACCGGUACUAAUGAACCGUGAGG